rnacentral:rRNA from 1 species
GCUAAGAAUCUUCCGCAAUGGGCGAAAGCCUGACGGAGCGACGCCGCGUGGACGAUGAAGGCCGUAAGGUUGUAAAGUCCUUUUCUCUGUGAGGAAUAAGGGUGGGAGUGGAAAGCCCGCCUGAUGACGGUAAUGGAGGAAUAAGCACCGGCUAACUACGUGCCAGCAGCCGCGGUAAUACGUAGGGUGCGAGCGUUGUUCGGAGUUAUUGGGCGUAAAGGGCGUGUAGGCGGCUUGAGAAGUCUGAUUUGAAAUGCACUGGCUCAACUGGUGCGCUGGGUCAGAAACUGGCAGGCUAGAGUUCAUAGGGAGGAACUGGAAUUCCAGGUGUAGGGGUGAAAUCUGUAGAGAUCUGGAAGAACACCGGUAGCGAAGGCGGGUUCCUAUGGAUGGACUGACGCUGAGGCGCGAAAGCGUGGGGAGCGAACAGGAUUAGAAACCCUAGUAGUCC